GUCCAGGGAUGGGAAUCGAACCCACAAUGUUCCGCUUACCGGGCAGAUGUCCACUAGGCUACCCUGGA
rnacentral:tRNA from 1 species